rnacentral:lncRNA from 1 species
AUUAAAAGCCAUUCAGCCAUAAAAAAGAUGAAUAAAUAAUUAAACUUAGAGAUUAUUUAAUUUCUAGAUUAUCAAAAUAGGAUUGGAUUUUACUCAGAGCAAAUUGUGACCCUUGGACACUGGUCAAUAAUGAUUUACACAAUUUUAUGUCAUUAGAGUUUUGGAAAGUAUAGUUCGUUCAAAAAUCUGUAGAUAACUCAGCAUUUUUUAUAGUGGCUAGAAGAAAAAUAAAUAAUCAUUACAUUCACUCUAUGACCAAUUAAAAACUUUGGUAAUAAACCUCUUUAGUAAAAAAAAAUGUACACAAUCAAGAAACAAGAUGUUUCUUACUUUGUUGUUAGGAGACAACUGUGGGAUAUCAGUGUGGUUUAUUUCUUCGCAUAUGUCCAGAGUCUGAAAUUAAGCAUUUUCAUGUAACUAAUGCACAAGUAAAAAUCUGCUGUGAACCAUCAGAUGAUUCAUUGGAGAUAUUGAUGAUUGCAUUGAUGAUUACGAGAGUGAGAGGCAGGGUGAAGCAGAAGACUAAGAGAUCUCAUGAAAGUUUCCAAAAUGUACAAGUUCAUCUGAGAGAAGGUUAAAGCCAUAAUGGGUGCAUUUCCUGAAGAAGUUGGAAGUUUAAAUGAUGAAGAAUUAAUGGGAGGAAGAUUACAGCAGAGCUCAAGACAAAGAAGCAGGGAUAAGGAUGGAGUAGAGCAUUGUGGGAAAGGAGCUAUAAAGGAUCUCAAAUAUCAACGGAAUGAUUUUCCCUUAUUUUGUAUGUGAAGAACUGAGAAGCAUAGAGGUUAAGUGAAAUUCCCGUGGUCAUAUAUCGGCAAAUGGCAAAGUUGAAAGUUGAAAGAAGUUCUCCUGACUUCCAAGUUACUGCCCUUUUUAUUCCUUCAUUUCAAGACUGGGCAUCUACACUAUAGUACACUACAGAUGGGAUAAAUGAGUUCUCUAAGAAAUUAGUGAAAUAGUGGUGAGAGAAAAAAUGAGGAAGGCAAUGUACACAAAAUGUCAACUGAAUUACAUACUUUAUUACUUUCCUUUCUAUGAAAAUAAUAUUCUAUUUCAAAGCUAUAUUAACUAGCUUUCCAUUGAUCCAUUCUUUUAUGCUUUUGUAUUUUCACAAUAUAUUAAAAUUAUCCAAGUGCUAGAGCAAGUAGGGUAUAUUUUGAUAGAAUCAAGUAUAAUAUUUUGUCACAUUUAGGAUGUAUGUCUUCCUUUGUAUUAUCACACACAACUUUGAAAUCCAAAAGAUAUGUCCUAUUCAUUUUGAGCGUUGAUUAAAACAACAAAUGGAAUGACUAUGUCAGCAUUGAUAUUCUGAACUGACCACAGAGUAAGAAGGUAAAUGAAAUAAAUGCCUCUAGGAGUGAAGAGUUUUUUGAGGAAGUAUUUUAAGGCAAGAGAGAAGCUACCAGAUGCUCACUAGUUAUUAAAAGAAGAGCUUGCUGCCUUCACAGCAUGAGUCAUCAUCCCCUGUGCUGGUGUGGCUUGUCAUCAGUUCUCUCUCUUUCCUUGUCCUCAGUCCUGUCACUUACUGUAGAUCUACGCUUCUAUUUCAGGACAUACUUGGGGAUGAAUGAAUCCUUACCAGGAAGCAUAUAAGAACUCUCUGACUGAAGCAAGGAUUGUUUGAUUAAUUACUGUUUCCAGGAUUUUACUAUGUGUAACUUCUUUUUCUUCAGAAACGCUUUAUGGGUUGUUGUGAAAGAACGCAUGCUUUGAACAGCUGAGGAAAACCGAGAGGAUCACAGCGACACCAAGCACGGGCCAACAUGAAGUCAAAACUUUGCAUUAACCCACCCUGCAGUUGCUCACGUCCAGGGAAACAGAGUUCAAGAAAGACUGAGAAAUGUGCUGAAGGUUACCCAAUGCUACCUGGUCAAACUGGAAUUUGAACCUGAAUGUGCCUGAUUAAAAAGCCCAGUUUUCUUUUUCUCUCUUCUAGUUUUGUGGACGUUUUUACAGACAUGUGCCGUCUUCAGGGCCUGAUCUUUAUCUUUCUAGAUUCCAAUGCAUCUAGUUUGAUACUGAAGCUGCCAAUCAAUUUUACUGGACUAAAUCAAAUCUGUAAAAUCUUGGCCAAGUUUAUAAAAAAAUAAAAUAUAAAACUACCA